GGAGAAGUGUUAAGCGAUCAGUUUAAAUCCCAAGCAGUGCAACAUGAGCUGCUGGAUUUGCUAAUGAUCACUCUAAAUAGUGUUUCUUGUAAGCAUUGGCAAUGAACAUGAGAACUCGCUUUAUUCAUUUUCUCUGAUUACAAAGAAGAUGAAAUUUCACGUAAGUGCACUGUAAGAAGCUGCCCAUGUUUCUCCUGUAUUCAGAUAGUUUCCACAAUUCCAUUCUCAUUCUUAGGGAAUCAGUUCUUCCCUUGGUAGAUGAAGGUAGUUUCUGUUUAGCGGAGGACUUGGCCCAUCUUUCCUUAAGGGAUGACAAUCUUUGUACCAUUGCCACAAGUGAAGGCUUCUAGGACAUCUCCAUGGAUGGAAUAAGCCAUUGCAGAAGGAAGGACACCUCCUCAGAGAAUGGCCUUUGAGGAAGAUCCAUGGGAAAGAGGGAAAAGAUUUAAGGAUUUCGGCAGCAAGAUUCAGUAUCUCAGCUCUGGAAACCAGUUGCUUAAUGGAAGCCUGUGCGCUGUUCAUGACCACCCA
rnacentral:lncRNA from 1 species